rnacentral:rRNA from 1 species
UUAGAGUUUGAUCCUGGCUCAGGAUGAACGCUAGCGAUAGGCCUAACACAUGCAAGUCGAGGGGCAUCACAUGAGGUAGCAAUACCGAUGGUGGCGACCGGCGCACGGGUGAGUAACACGUAUGCAACCUGCCUUCAACAAGGGGAUAACUCGUUGAAAGACGGACUAAUACCCUAUAACACAGGGCUCCCGCAUGGGAAUAUUUGUUAAAGAUUUAUCGGUUGAAGAUGGGCAUGCGUUCCAUUAGUUAGUUGGGGGGGUAACGGCCCACCAAGGCAACGAUGGAUAGGGGAACUGAGAGGUUUAUCCCCCACACUGGUACUGAGACACGGACCAGACUCCUACGGGAGGCAGCAGUGAGGAAUAUUGGUCAAUGGACGCAAGUCUGAACCAGCCACGUCGCGUGAAGGAAGACGGCCCUACGGGUUGUAAACUUCUUUUGUAAGGGAAUAAAGUGAGUCACGUGUGGCUUUUUGCAUGUACCUUACGAAUAAGGAUCGGCUAACUCCGUGCCAGCAGCCGCGGUAAUACGGAGGAUCCGAGCGUUAUCCGGAUUUAUUGGGUUUAAAGGGUGCGUAGGCGGAAAUGUAAGUCAGUGGUGAAAUCCUGCAGCUUAACUGUAGAAUAGCCGUUGAAACUGUGUUUCUUGAGUACAUUUGAGGUAGGCGGAAUGUGGUGUGUAGCGGUGAAAUGCAUAGAUAUACCACAGAACACCGAUUGCGAAGGCAGCUUACUAAACUGUCACUGACGCUGAUGCACGAAAGCGUGGGUAUCAAACAGGAUUAGAUACCCUGGUAGUCCACGCUGUAAACGAUGAUUACUGGUUGUUUGCGAUACACUGCAAGUGACUGAGCGAAAGCACUAAGUAAUCCACCUGGGGAGUACGUCGGCAACGAUGAAACUCAAAGGAAUAGACGGGGGCCCGCACAAGCGGAGGAACAUGUGGUUUAAUUCGAUGAUACGCGAGGAACCUUACCUGGGUUUAAAUGGGGAGUGACAGGCUUGGAAACAGGCCCCUCUUCGGACACUCUUCAAGGUGCUGCAUGGUUGUCGUCAGCUCGUGCCGUGAGGUGUCGGGUUAAGUCCCAUAACGAGCGCAACCCCUAUCGAUAGUUACCAGCACGCUACGGUGGGGACUCUAUCGAGACUGCCGGUGUAAACCGUGAGGAGGGGGGGGAGGACGUCAAAUCAGCACGGCCCCUACAUCCAGGGCUACACACGUGUUACAAUGGCCGGUACAAAGGGCAGCUACACAGCGAUGUGAUGCUAAUCUCCAAAUCCGGUCUCAGUUCGGAUCGAAGUCUGCAACCCGACUUCGUGAAGCUGGAUUCGCUAGUAAUCGCGCAUCAGCCACGGCGCGGUGAAUAAGUUCCCGGGCCUUGUACUCACCGCCCGUCA